GAUGACUCUGUUUAUCUUCUAAAGAAAUAAAUAAAUACAUAUUAGUGGACUACUACCCCACAGUGUAUGCAGCAUGACUUCAGCAUGGUUUGGAUACAGGGAUGGUCGUGACAUGGAUUUAUUACAGCUUUAAGAUGAGCUCAUUCACAAGACUCUGGAUGUACUUUCAUAACAGACACUUGUAACUACUUCAAUUUGCAUUUUGAAACCCAUCCAUCCAUCCAUUUUCUUCUGCUUAUCCUGGGCCUGGUCACAGGGGCAGCAGUCUAAGCAGGGAUGCCCAGACUUCCCUCUCCCUAGACACUUCCUGCAGCUCUUCCAGGGGGACACCGAGGCGUUCCCAGGCCAGCCGGGAGACAUAGUCCCUCCAGCGUGUCCUAGGUCUUCCCCAGGGUCUCCUCCCGGUGGGACAUGCCCGGAACACCUUCCCGGGAAGGCGUCCAGGGGGCAUCCGGAAAGGAUGCCCGAGCCACCUCAGCUGG